GUAAUACGUAGGUGGCAAGCGUUGUCCGGAUUUAUUGGGCGUAAAGCGAGCGCAGGCGAAUGAUAAGUCUGAUGUGAAAGCCCACGGCUCAACCGUGGAACUGCAUCGGAAACUGUCAUUCUUGAGUGCAGAAGAGGAGAGUGGAACUCCAUGUGUAGCGGUGGAAUGCGUAGAUAUAUGGAAGAACACCAGUGGCGAAGGCGGCUCUCUGGUCUGCAACUGACGCUGAGGCUCGAAAGCAUGGGUAGCGAACAGGAUUAGAUACCCUGGUAGUCCAUGCCGUAAACGAUGAGCGCUAGGUGUUGGGGACUUUCCGGUCCUCAGUGCCGCAGCAAACGCAUUAAGCGCUCCGCCUGGGGAGUACGACCGCAAGGUUGAAACUCAAAGGAAUUGACGGGGGCCCGCACAAGCGGUGGAGCAUGUGGUUUAAUUCGAAACAACGCGAAGAACCUUACCAGGUCUUGACAUCUAGUGCCAUCCUAAGAGAUUAGGAGUUCCCUUCGGGGACGCUAAGACAGGUGGUG
rnacentral:rRNA from 1 species